rnacentral:rRNA from 1 species
UACGGGGGGGGUAAGCGUUGUUCGGAAUUACUGGGCGUAAAGGGCUCGUAGGCGGCCAACUAAGUCAGACGUGAAAUCCCUCAGCUUAACUGGGGAACUGCGUCUGAUACUGGAUGGCUUGGAUCCGGGAGAGGGAUGCGGAAUUCCAGGUGUAGCGGUGAAAUGCGUAGAUAUCUGGAGGAACACCGGUGGCGAAGGCGGCAUCCUGGACCGGUAUUGACGCUGAGGAGCGAAAGCUAGGGGAGCAAACAGGG